rnacentral:rRNA from 1 species
UGGAGCCGACCUUGAAAUACCACCCUUUAAUGUUUGAUGUUCUAACGUGGACCCGUAAUCCGGGUUGCGGACAGUGUCUGGUGGGUAGUUUGACUGGGGCGGUCUCCUCCUAAAGAGUAACGGAGGAGCACGAAGGUUGGCUAAUCCUGGUCGGACAUCAGGAGGUUAGUGCAAUGGCAUAAGCCAGCUUGACUGCGAGCGUGACGGCGCGAGCAGGUGCGAAAGCAGGUCAUAGUGAUCCGGUGGUUCUGAAUGGAAGGGCCAUCGCUCAACGGAUAAAAGGUACUCCGGGGAUAACAGGCUGAUACCGCCCAAGAGUUCAUAUCGACGGCGGUGUUUGGCACCUCGAUGUCGGCUCAUCACAUCCUGGGGCUGAAGUAGGUCCCAAGGGUAUGGCUGUUCGCCAUUUAAAGUGGUACGCGAGCUGGGUUUAGAACGUCGUGAGACAGUUCGGUCCCUAUCUGCCGUGGGCGCUGGAGAACUGAGGGGGGCUGCUCCUAGUACGAGAGGACCGGAGUGGACGCAUCACUGGUGUUCGGGUUGUCAUGCCAAUGGCACUGCCCGGUAGCUAAAUGCGGAAGAGAUAAGUGCUGAAAGCAUCUAAGCACGAAACUUGCCCCGAGAUGAGUUCUCCCUGAGACUUUAGGUCUCCUGAAGGAACGUUGAAGACGACGACGUUGAUAGGCCGGGUGUGUAAGCGCAGCGAUGCGUUGAGCUAACCGGUACUAAUGAACCGUGAGGCUUAACCUU